rnacentral:tRNA from 1 species
GCGCUCGUAGCUCAGCUGGAUAGAGUACUUGACUACGAAUCAAGGGGUCGCGGGUUCGAGUCCCUCCGAGCGCGCCA